GACGAACGCUGGCGGCGUGCUUAACACAUGCAAGUCGAACGGAAAGGCCCUGCUUUUGUGGGGUGCUCGAGUGGCGAACGGGUGAGUAACACGUGAGUAACCUGCCCUUGACUUUGGGAUAACUUCAGGAAACUGGGGCUAAUACCGGAUAGGAGCUCCUGCUGCAUGGUGGGGGUUGGAAAGUUUCGGCGGUUGGGGAUGGACUCGCGGCUUAUCAGCUUGUUGGUGGGGUAGUGGCUUACCAAGGCUUUGACGGGUAGCCGGCCUGAGAGGGUGACCGGCCACAUUGGGACUGAGAUACGGCCCAGACUGCUACGGGAGGCAGAAGUGGGGAAUAUUGCACAAUGGGCGGAAGCCUGAUGCAGCAACGCCGCGUGCGGGAUGACGGCCUUCGGGUUGUAAACCGCUUUCGCCUGUGACGAAGCGGGAGUGACGGUAAUGGGUAAAGAAGCACCGGCUAACUACGUG
rnacentral:rRNA from 1 species